rnacentral:rRNA from 1 species
CCCUUAGAUGUCCUGGGCAGCACGCGUGCUACAAUGAUGCAUUCAACGGGUCUUGCCUUAACCGAAAGGUUCGGGUAAACUUUUGAAAUUGCAUCUUGUCGGGGCUUGAUCAUUGUAAUUUUUGAUCACAAACAAGGAAUUCCUUGUAAAUGUGAGUCAUCAACUUGCAUUGAAUACGUCCCUGCCCUUUGUACACACCGCCCGUCGCUUCUACCGAUGAAUGAUCCGGUGAACACUCUGGACUUGUUGUCUGUCGGAGCAAUCCAAAGACGAUAGGGAAGUUGUGUAAACCUUAUCAUUUAGAGGAAGAAGAAGUCGUAACA